GUUACGAAAAAACAUAAAAUAAAAUCCUGAUAACCCCCAAAAUCUCUUAAUCUUCUCCCCUAAUUUCCAUUACACAUCCACUACCCAGAAUGCCCCUAUUACACAACUCUAUCCCGAAAUCUGAGCAAAAAAAAUACCCUUGCCUGCAUAGGGAUUCGAACACAAGACAUCCACCAUAAUAACACACCAUUUAACCACCAGACCAGCAGGC
rnacentral:lncRNA from 1 species